AGUGAACGCUGGCGGUAGGCCUAACACAUGCAAGUCGAACGGCAGCACAGUAAGAGCUUGCUCUUACGGGUGGCGAGUGGCGGACGGGUGAGGAAUACAUCGGAAUCUACUUUUUCGUGGGGGAUAACGUAGGGAAACUUACGCUAAUACCGCAUACGACCUACGGGUGAAAGCAGGGGAUCUUCGGACCUUGCGCGAUUGAAUGAGCCGAUGUCGGAUUAGCUAGUUGGCGGGGUAAAGGCCCACCAAGGCGACGAUCCGUAGCUGGUCUGAGAGGAUGAUCAGCCACACUGAAAUUGAGACACGGUCAAGAUUCCUACGGGAGGCAGCAGUGGGGAAUAUUGGACAAUGGGCGCAAGCCUGAUCCAGCCAUACCGCGUGGGUGAAGAAGGCCUUCGGGUUUUAAAGCCCUUUUGUUGGGAAAGAAAAGCAGCAGGUUAAUACCCCGCUGUUCUGACGGUACCCAAAGAAUAAGCACCGGCUAACUUCGUG
rnacentral:rRNA from 1 species